rnacentral:misc_RNA from 1 species
AUGGGAUAAGCAUUAUCAUAUCAUCAGCAAUGUCACAUUUUAUUUAGCAUCAUAUCAUAUAUUUACGUUUUUUUCUCCACUAACAGGCUUCAAAAUCUGAAAGGAGCACAUCAGAGAUUCAUCUAUGCUCAUCACAGCACCAGCAUUAUCAUAUUCACCACGAUGGCAGGGAGCUGAAAAAAUAGUGACAAGCUGUUUAUCUGCAAAGAAUUCAUACCCAUCCUCCAC